AGAGAAGGGGAAAAAUAAGGCAGGGCGGCUCAAGGCCGCUCCGGCGCACGGCAAAGCGCCAAGGUCCCUCGCUCGGGCGGCCCCGCCGGCGGGAUCCGCGGGUGCCCUGCGCAGCAGGCAGAGACCGCGGGGUUCAGCCCGCUUCAGCGGCGCGACAGGCCCCGGCCGGAGCGAGGUCUGGCCCGAGGUCUCAACAUGGACACCGUGAGGAAACGCUCAUGCAUCCCCCCAGGCGGCCGCGGAAGGACGGGCGGAGCGGGGCCUUUUACAUCGCUACCCUCCGCCACUAGGGCGUGACGGAGCCCCCGGCCUCCGCGCUGGGGGAGGGGAGCGGGCACAGAAUGAAGCACUUUGCCAGUCAGCAUCUCCCUUUUACUUUAAGGUGGGGGUUUCAGCAGUUGCAUUCAUUCACUUGGCACCUUUAUAAAUAAGGUUUAGCAGAACAAAUUGUUCAGAAGUCAUCCAGAAGCAGAGUCUGACAGUCUGUCUUGUUUACUAUCACUGCUCAUAUGGAUCAGCAUUGUACAAACCUGAGUGUCAACACAGCAGAACAAGAAUUUCCACCAGGUAAUUCCAAAGCUCCUAUAUCUGGCAUGACUGGACAUAAAAGAGAAAGUUCCAUGAUUUCAUAACUUAACCCUUAUACUUUUCAAUUGUAUUUCCAGGCCUUGGUUCUUUAAGCUUUCAAAAUAUGGUAUAAACUAAUAUAGUAAUUUCUUCACAAGCAAGCAGGGAGUCUGGAAUAAGACAACUUCAAAAUACGUAAACUAGACAGUUUACAUAUCAAAUUGCAGCCAGGGAGUUAUGAACCACAGAACUCAGUACUUCUGCAAUAAAACUUGUGAUUUACUACAA